rnacentral:rRNA from 1 species
UACGGGGGGGGGCAAGCGUUGUUCGGAAUUACUGGGCGUAAAGGGUUCGUAGGUGGCCAACUAAGUCAGACGUGAAAUCCCUCAGCUUAACUGGGGAACUGCGUCUGAUACUGAUUGGCUUGAGUGCAGGAGAGGAACGCGGAAUUCCGCGUGUAGCAGUGAAAUGCGUAGAGAUGCGGAGGAACACCGAUGGCGAAGGCAGCCCCCCUGGGCCAAUACUGACGCUCAGGCACGAAAGCGUGGGGAGCAAACAGG